CUCCAAAAUACAAGAUAUCAGUAGUAAGAGUGUGAGGAAAGAAGCCUCCCACAACUAAGCCAAGGCAAUGCCGACGAGUGCUUCUUCCCCGCCAGCGACAAGUGCUCCCAUUCCUCCUCUGAAGAAACCGCCUGAUCCUCCUCCUCCCCUCCCCCCCUUCUCCUGAGCUCCUCCUCCAAGGCCCCGCUACUGAAGGGGCAUCUCCCUCUUCGGGAGCAGCCUCUUCUCCCCUCGACAAAAGCCAAACUCGCACUGCUACCUCCUUGCAAGCGCAUAAAGUCUCACCCUUUUGGGCAAGCCUCCUCAGGCAAUCCUCUUCAGAUGACCCUUGGCGUUUCGACACGGAGCGCGGUCCUAGAUCCAGAGGAAGUGCAGAAUGCAAGGAGUCACUGACAACUCUACAAUUUUUUCGGCAAAGCACGCCCUUUGGAGUUCAUCAAAGGGGAGCCAUGGUUCCUCCGCGGACAUGCUCUCAACCUCUUCCCAAGGAGAGCAAACUUCCGACCUUUGAAGGAAAACGUAAAGUCUGCCCCCAAUCUGGAUCCAUUUUCCUAGCCUCCCCAUUGAACUGAUGUACCAUCGCGUUCUCCUCCAAAUCGCCGAUAGCAUUGGAUCAGCCGUCAAAGUUGAUGCUGUCACCACCUCUGGAACUAGAGCGAGGCUUGUUGGCCAUAAAAUCGAUCAAUGCAACCAAAGCAAGCUGCCGGAGCAAACGGCCGCCCCUGGCAAGGAUGCCGCAGGUGGGCAUUGGCUCUGUUACAGAGAUUGGCACGAACCGAGAACAUGGCCUACUGUACGGGCCCUGGUUCAAAGUCCAACACAAAUCCUGUUACAGUAGCCGUUUUGGCGCAACAUCGGUCCACUCCAGCGCCUCACCUCAGCCCACUGAACCCGCUCCGGCCACCUCGCAGCCUGGUGAAUCCCGUACCAAACGGGCCUUUGCUUUCUCCUGUUUCCCGCCAUCCCGUUCCAUCUUCGGGUCACCCUUUCAAACCAGCAUUAAACCCCGAUGGUGCUUCCCCAGAUUGUAUUAGUUCUUCCCCUCCUUUCCAAUACUGCGUCAUUGGAGAUGCGCCCCUCCACCCUGACAUGCCACCGGUGCUAACGUCUUAGGAUGCCGCCUCCUCGACUGCCACACCCUCCUUUGUAAAGGGACGACAACCCCUCGCCCACCCUGCAAACAAGCACAACCCCGUUUCCUCACGCUUCUCUAGAUGUCAUCGCCUCGCCCCAUUUCCUCACCAUUAUCCCUCAACCCACAUUCUCUAGAUGGAGUAGUUUGGCCGGCUCAAGGUCGGUCUGGUGGAAUCAUCGUCGCUUGGAACUCCGGUACUCUCAAAGCUUCCCCUGUUAGUAUCUCACAACAAUCUUUGCACUUAAUGGUGGAAUAGAGAGGUACGCACCCCUGACCUCUCUCAGCAGUCUACAUAAUUACUGAUGCUUCUCAACGCAAUGCUCACUGGCGUUUUCUUUCGAAUUUUGAUCUCUCGGAUCUACCUUGGUUGAUUUGUGUGGAUUUUAACUGUCUUAAUUCUACUUCUAAUAAACUGGGGGGUGAUACACCCUUCUUAUCCUGUCUUUUCUAGACAGAUUCACCUGAAAAUGGCUUGCUAAAGCCAAGAUCAAUUGUCUCAGGGAUGAUGAUAAAACACCAGCUUCUUCCAUAACACAAUCAGACAAAGGAGAUCUAUUUAUAUUCACCACAUUAAGAGGGAGGAUGGAUCCAUGGGGGAGGACUUGGCCUCUAUAUCCUCUGUUUUCACUGACAUGAUCUCGCUCUUGUCUCUGCAAGAGUUCGUAUUCUAGACCUUUGUCCAAUGAAAGUUUUGUGUUUUCGUUUUAUGUUUCAUCUUUUAUACCAACUCUCUUUAUAUGGCUUAGGUUAUUCAUCAAGUUACACUCAAGUUGUUCCGUUCCUUGA